rnacentral:rRNA from 1 species
UGGGUGAUCUGCCCUGCACUUUGGGAUAAGCCUGGGAAACUGGGUCUAAUACCGAAUACACCCUGCUGGUCGCAUGGCCUGGUGGGGGAAAGCUUUUGCGGUGUGGGAUGGGCCCGCGGCCUAUCAGCUUGUUGGUGAGGUUACGGCUCACCAAGGCGACGACGGGUAGCCGGCCUGAGAGGGUGACCGGCCACACUGGGACUGAGAUACGGCCCAGACUCCUACGGGAGGCA